rnacentral:lncRNA from 1 species
GCUCCAUUUCUGGCCUUUGGUCUCUUUCUCGGAAAGCAGGCCUCAGUGGCCUCAGUUUCUUCCCAGAACCUGCAAUGCCCCACCAAGGUGACAAGAAGUGCAAGGAGUCGGUUUUCACUGCCAACCAAAGAGGUGACCCCCGCAAAGCAACCAUGUUGGGACAGUCCAUUUGCUGCGUUUUGAUUAUUUGCUAAGAGCAAAUACCUUUUCUGUUUGGGUUUUGCUUUUAGAAAAAAAAUGUGGCAGAUGGUGGUGGCUUUCCCCGUCAUUGAAAGAAGAAAGGUAGUAACUCUACUGGUGCACUCCUCUGAGUUGUGCUAACAAAGAAGAAUGCUGAAAGAAAAGGGAAAUGAACACCAUUUUCAGGCAGCUUCUCCAAGUUUUUUUGACAGUGUUAUAAUUUUCCUUUAGCGACUGUUGAAGCAAAUAUCUGUAUUUAUGUUCAGAUUAAACCGAGAGAGCAAAGACUGCUAAAGCCAGUAAUUUCUGGGCUGCAAAUGCAGGAUAGCUCCAGUGAAUUUCAGAUUCUUAAAGGUUUUUGCUGUAGCGAAUUCAUGACACAAAGCAUUUGGAGGGAAACCUAUUAGAGAAGAAACACAUCCUAAAUGAGAAUUACUGAGGACGGGAGGCUCUUGUCAUUUAUUGGAUUAGUUAUAGCACUUUACACAAGCCUGUAAUAUUUGUUCUGCUGCUGUGGUGUGACUGGUAAAAUGAAAAGGUAUGUCAAGGGAGUGCUUGACUGACGUUCUUAUUUCUUCCGUCUUCUUAUAUUGCU